CCAUUUAUACCAUAAUAAACAUAUAUAACCCUAGGCUUACUUGGACAUUGAGCACUUUGAUCUAGGCAAAUAGCCUAAGUUAAAGGUGGCUAUCAUAGGUGUGCAUGGUGUAUGAUGAGAAGUAUGAAGAUGAACUAAAGAUGGGUUCUAAUAAUGCAAGAUAAAAAUAGAAGAGAAGAGAAGAGAAGAGAAGAGAGAGUUGUUGCAUCACCCAACUUGAAUAUGGAUAAUCAAGAGAAGAAGAAAAAUGAAAGAGGAUAAUUAGUGAGUCUAAGAAAGAAGUGU
rnacentral:lncRNA from 1 species